rnacentral:rRNA from 1 species
AUUGAACGCUGGCGGCGGGCCUAACACAUGCAAGUCGAACGGUAACGGGAUGCAGUUUUCUGCUUCGCGGACGGGGGGCGGGUGGGUGAGAAGUGUCUGGCAAGCUCCUGGCUGUGGGGGGAUAACUACUGGAAAGGGUAGCUAAUACCGCGUAAUGUCGGAAGACCAAAGAGGGGGGCCUUGGGGCCGCUGGCCAUGGUGUGCGCCCGGAUGGGAUUCGCUUGUUGGUGGGGUAACGGUUCACCGAGGCGAACAUCUGGAGGUGGUCUGAGAGGAUGACCAGCCACACUGGAACUGAGACACGGUCCAGACUCCUACGGGAGGCAGCAGUGGGCAAUAUUGCACAAUGGGCGCAAGCCUGAUGCAGCCAUGGCGAGUGUAUGGAGACAGCCUUCGGGUUGUAAAGUACUUUCAGCGAGGAGGAAGGGAGUAAAGUUAAUACCUUUCCUCAUUGACGUUACCCGCAGAAGAAGCACCGGCUAACUCCGUG